rnacentral:tRNA from 1 species
CGGCUCAUCGCUCAGUUGGUUGGAGAAGCCGACUCAUAAUCGGCCGGUCGUCGGCUCAAGUCCGGCUGGGCCCACCA